rnacentral:rRNA from 1 species
CCACCGUUAUGUAGAUAAUAAUGGAGAGUGUAAAAAGAAAUUAUUACGGAUUGGUACGCUAUAUGUUAAAGGGCAAUAAGAAUUGUGUAAUAUAACACAUAACCUCUUAGAUAAAUUAAGUAAAAUGAAAACGAAGUGAAAUGAAAUAUCUGAGUAACUUCAGGAAAACAAAUCAAAGGAGAUUCUAUGAUUAAUGUGAAUUAAAGUAGAGAAGCCUAUAAAUAAUUAAGUAAAAUGGAUAUAAGUCUUUUUGAAUAAAGGGGAACCUUCCUCUAAGGCUAAAUAUGACAUAUUAAGCGAUAGCGAAGGAGUACCGUGAGGGAACUACCAUGAAAUAGUAAUUUUAUAAGCAGCUCGAGCUAAAUUUAAAUAGAUAGUGCGAGCGUACCUUUUGCAUAAUGGGUCAGCAAGUUAAUGUUAGAUGUAAGCAGCAAUGCCUAGAUAAAGCGAUUAUCAUCCAAUGAGAUAAUAUCUAACAUUAGACCCGAAGCCUAGUGAUAUUACCAUGAUCAGGGUUAUAAAAGCCCGAACGGGUUAUCGUUGUAAAGAUAUCCGAUGAAUUGUGGUAAGAUGUGAAAGACAAAACUGACUAGGAUAGCUGGUUUUCCGCGAAACCUAUCUAAGUAGGUCAUUUAGUUAACAUCAUAGCAGGUACAGAACUGUGAUCUCAUGCAACUUGGCCUUAAUUGGUCAAAUUUGCACAUACCGGGGGAUCGUGAAGAUUUUACUGGUGAGUAAUUGGCCUCGGAAUGGUAAUGAUGAAUACUAAACAAUCAGACAUAGAAUGCUAAGGUUGUAUGUCAAAAGGGAAACAGCCCAGAACAAGUGUAAUAGUAAGGUUCCAAAAUUAUUAUUAAGUGAAAUAAAGGUAGUCUUUAGUCUAAUUCGACCAGGAAAUAGGCUUAGAAGCGGCCAUUUUUUGAAGAACUCGUAACAGAGCACUGGUUUAUAUAUUAUGUUAUAUAAUAUACUUUGAAAAAGGCAUCUAAAAUUUAACGGAUCUAAAAUAAUAUACCGAAACCUUGUCUAUAAAUAUAAAGAUUUCUCUAUUAUAUUUAUAGGGUAGCGGAACGUAGGAUAUGUAAGAGAUUUUUUCUUUUUAAGAAAAAAGUAUACAAUCCUAGUGAGAAUGCUGGCAUGAGUAACGUUAAAGGAUCAGAGAAUCCUCGCCUUAAGCUCAUGGAUUUGGGACAAACAAGUAACGGCCUCUAAGUUUAUUAACCUAAAGGAUUAAGCGAUGAGAAAAUCUUGGUUUAUGAAGUAACAACUUUUAUAUCUUUACUUAAAGAUAAGUGAAAAAAGUUCUGGAAAAACUAUAAACGAUUAUAAUGGGUGAUUUUUUUGAUCGUCCAUUGUAUAAAACCGUACCUAUUAAUCCAUCUCAGGUGAGCAAGUAGAGAAUACGAAGGCGUUAAGAGUGAACAAUCAUCAAGGAACUCGGCAAAUUGACUACCGUAACUUAGGGAGAAGGAGUGCCGUUCCUCCCGAUUAAUAUCGGGUAAAGAAAAGGAAGCAUAGAAUCGUGUUGUACGACUGUUUAAUUAAAACAAAGCACUUUGCAUUAAGAUAAAAAUCGAAGUAUUGAGUGUGAUCUCUGCCCGAUGUCGGCUGGUUAACGGAUUUUCUUAGUUGACUUAUAUAAACUAGGCUUUGAAGGAAACCCCGAUUAAUGGCGGCCUUACCUAUGAGGGUCCUAAGGUAGCGGAAUACCCUGGCCGUUAAAUGCGGUCUUGCAUGAAUGACUGAACGAUACAACAGCUGUCUCAAUGAUUGGCUCAGUGAAAUUGAAUUAGCAGUGCAGAUGCUGCUUACCUCUAGUUAGACGAGAAGACCCUAUGCAGCUUUACUAUUGCUAGUUAUUGCAUACGAUCGGACAAGUUUUAGUGUAUAAGGUAAUCGGUAAGAUACAAUUGAAACUCCUUUUGUUAGUCUAUCGUAUAGCUGGGAGCGAUAUAGUUCCCCCUCGAAAUCACAAUGAAGCUUUUUUUUUUGUGAGAUUAGAGCGACUUUUACUAUCAUUGAUUCAAUGAGUAUUAGAAAAAUGGCUAGGUGGUAGUUUAUGCGGGGCACAGAUCCCAUAAAGAGUAACUGGGUAUAUCCAACAUUUUUAUGUAAAAUUACAUAUUUCCCGGAGGCGGCGGAAAUAAGCACCCCUCCGGGAAAUAAAAUAAUAUUUUAUUUUAAUUAUGUUUAAGAUAGGCUUGCCUAUCUUAUUUUAAAUAUUCAUAUGUUUUUAUAUAGGCGCAAGCUCGAUAUAAAAAUAUGAAUUUAACCAAGUACUUAUCUAUUAAGUUAGAGUUUAAUAAAUCAAUCUAAGUAGGAUUUUAACUAUAUGGAAAAUAGAUGUAAUAAAAUGUAUUAACUAGCUAGCUGCUUGUAAUACAUUUUCAGUUGCUUAAAUCUUACAGUAGGCGACUAUGUAAUUUUAAGUGAUUUUUAUUUUUACUUGUCAAGUUUAAUGGCUUAAUCUUGCUUUACUGUAUGACCUACACGUCUAUCAGUCGCGUAAGCGGGGCAUAUGAUCACAAGAUGCAGAAAGGAAAGGUCUUGGAUUAAUGAAAAAGCUACGCUAGGGAUAACAGGCUAAUUGCGCCAGAGAGUACAAAUUGGGUGCGCAGUUUGGCACCUCGAUGUCGGCUUAGCUUAUCCACAUGAACGC